rnacentral:rRNA from 1 species
AGAGUUUGAUCCUGGCUCAGAACGAACGUUGGCGGCGUGCCUAAUACAUGCAAGUCGAGCGAGAAACUACCCUUCGGGGUAGGAGUACAGCGGCGAAAGGGUGAGUAAUACGUGGAUAACCUACCCUCUAGACCGGGAUAACCCAGGGAAACUUGGACUAAUACCGGAUGCCGUCCGAGAAGCUCCUGCUUUUUGGAUGAAAACGAGCCGAAAGGUUCGCGCUAGAGGAGGGGUUCACGGCCUAUCAGCUAGUUGGCGGGAUAACAGCCCACCAAGGCUUUGACGGGUAGCCGGACUGAGAGGUUGGUCGGCCACAUGGGCACUGAGACACGGGUCCAGCACCUACGGGUGGCAGCAGUAGGGAAUAUUGCACAAUGGGCGAAAGCCUGAUGCAGCGACGCCGCGUGCGGGACGAAGCUCUUCGGGGUGUAAACCGCUUUUCUGAGGGACGAACAUUGACGGUACCUCAGGAAUAAGCACCGGCUAACUCCGUGCCAGCAGCUGCGGUAAUACGGAGGGUGCAAACGUUGUUCGGAUUCACUGGGCGUAAAGGGUCCGUAGGCGGCCCGGCAAAUCGAUUGUGCAAUCCCGACGCCUACCGUCGGAACCGCAGUCGAAAAUACCGGGCUAGAGGCCGUCAGGGGCGAGUGGAACUCUUGGUGGAGCGGUGAAAUGCGUAGAUAUCAAGAGGAACGCCGGAGGCGAAAGCGACUCGCUGGGGCGGAUCUGACGCUGAGGGACGAAAGCUGGGGGAGCAAACAGGAUUAGAUACCCUGGUAGUCCCAGCCGUAAACGAUGAGGACUAAAUGGAGGAAAUUUCGGUUUUCUCUGUUGCAGCUAACGCAUUAAGUCCUCCGCCUGGGGAGUACGGCCGCAAGGUUAAAACUCAAAGGAAUUGACGGGGGCUCGCACAAGCGGUGGAGCAUGUGGUUUGUAAUUCGAUGCAACGCGAAGAACCUUACCCGGGCUUGAAGUGCUGGUGGUACGGAUCCGAAAGGUGAAGGACCCUUUACGGGGAGCCAGCAUCAGGUGUUGCAUGGCUGUCGUCAGCUCGUGUCGUGAGAUGUUGGGUUAAGUCCCGUAACGAGCGAAACCCCUGCGCUUAGUUGCAACUCCCUUUGGGAGGCACUUUAAGCGGACUGCCCGUGUCGAAUGGGAGGAAGGUGGGGAUGACGUCAAGUCCUCAUGGCCCUUAUGUCCGGGGCUACACACGUGCUACAAUGGUCGGUACAAAGGGUCGCCAACCCGCGAGGGGGAGCCAAUCCCACAAAGCCGACCCCAGUUCGGAUUGGAGGCUGCAACUCGCCUCCAUGAAGCCGGAAUCGCUAGUAAUCGCGGAUCAGCCACGCCGCGGUGAAUAUGUUCCCGAGCCUUGUACACACCGCCCGUCAAGCCACUCAAGCAUGGGGCGCCUAAAGUCCGUUCCCAAACCUUCGGGAUGGUGCGGCCCAGGGUGAAACGUGUGAGAAGGGCUAAGUCGUAACAAGGUA